AUGAGCACCAGGAAGAAGAACAUCCCUAAGUACUCAAAUUUCCAGAGCAUGGAGUUGGAACCCACAGAGGCCGAGGACCAGGAACUCUCUGAAUUGGACUCACUUUACCAGUCUAGUCUGCAGGCUGGCCCGGGUCCUGGCCGAGCCCUGUGUGGUACCAGCUCACCUGCUGUUUUGAGACCAGUACUUCCUGCUGCACGAAAGCUGCUCACUGGAGUCGGACGCUCUCGGACCCCCACGGCUGAACUUGAGAGAACCGCUUAUGGACCACCAGGUUGUUGCAGCCCUACUGGAUAUAUGAACAUGCCCCCGUCAGUGGCCCAUCAAGAGCCUCAGUCAGGAGAGGAAGACCAGUAUGAUGCGGAUCACCUGCGCCGUAUUGCUCGCAGCCUGAGUGGAACGGUCAUUGGCCGUCGCCAGAACCGUCUUGCCGUCUCCCGAAGCUUCGACGUCUCCAGAGGUUCUCCGAGUUUCUGGCUGUGUUUGACCGGCGUCAAGCUCUCUCCAGUGGGAAGCACUACGGUCCAGCAGUGAGGUGUAUUGGAAGACAUCCUCUCUGAAGUUCUCACCCAACCAAUUGGCUUUGGACCAGGUCCUCCAGCCCUGGAACAUUUCCACAGAUGUGUUUGUUCCCUUCUGCACACCUCAUCCCAUUCUCUUCACAGUUUCCUGGAGAACUGAAAGGAGCACGUUCAGAGACCUGAUGCCAUCCUCAAUCACCCUGCACUCUGUAUUGUUCCUGGGAUGAUGCCCGUCUGUUACCCUGCUAUAGUCGGUAAAUCUUUCCAUGCAGAAGCCCCUGAAGCUCGAUCCACAGCAUGACGGAAAGAGACACCAAAACCAACUUUUUUUUUAUUUAUGAGCACUGGGAUGGCGUGAUUCUUUGGGGCUGAGGUGUGUGUGUAUGACUAACCUAUAGUUAGACUUUCAGCAUGCAAUGAUAGGAGCGUGGGGUCCAGAUUUGGACUCCCGCAGUGAGCCAUCCAACCCAGAGCACUUAACUUAAUUAACCCCAACAUUCAAUUAAUUGCAGAGGAGAAGCAUACGGUACCUCCUUGCUGCACUAGACGGUAAAUGUGUGUUUGUGUGUAUGCGUGUGUGCAUGUGUUGGGUGGUAAAAGUGGAGGGGCUUAUUGUAACCCUGCCCUCAUUUAUACUACAGGUCAAAAGUUUGGAAUGAUUAAGAUUUUUUUAUAUAUAUUUUUAAUAAGAUGUCUCAAGUGAUCAAAAAUACAGUAAAAACAGUAAAAUUGUGAAUAUUAUUACAAUUUAAAGCAUUGUUUUUCAUUUGAAUAUAUUUCAAAAGAAAUAUUUAGCAGCUUGACAGUUUUUAACAUUGAUUAUAAUUGUAUCAAUAAAUGUUUCUUGAGCACCAAAUCAGCAUAUUAGAACGAUUUCUGAAGGAUCAUGUGACACUGAAGACUGGAGUAAUGGAAUAAAUUACACUUUAAAAUAUAUCUAAAUAUAA
rnacentral:lncRNA from 1 species